CCUGAUCCAACCAGCUUAAUAGACUGCUCCAGGAUGGUAGUUUGGCCUGAUUAUGUGAAAAAAUGGAUUGUUAUUUAACAGAAACUUCUUUUCUUUCAAGGUGCUGAGCCAGGUGUUUAACAUAAAUUAUCUCAUUUGUUUUCU